CAAGCAUCUUGCUGAUUGGUCUGCCCUCGCCAGUCGCCAAGCAGUCUCUGUGGUCUCUCCUCUCACAUCCAGCAAGAUGUCGGGUCGAGAAGGUGGCAAGAAGAAGCCUCUGAAGCAGCCAAAGAAGCAGGUUUCUGAUAUGGAUGAGGACGACGUGGCAUACAAGCAAAAGCAGAAGGAACAGCAGAAGGCAUUGAAAGAAGCCCAGACUAAAGCCUCUGGUAAAGGCCCCAUGGGUGGGUCCGGAAUGAAGAAAUCUGGAAAGAAGUAGCAAAAUUAUUACCAUGCCAGGCAUCAGAGGCACGCUUCAUAACAUCAUGGAUGGAAUGGAAUUUCUUUUAGAGAACACUAUCACCAACAUUCACCAUCAUCUUCAUUUUUGGAUCGUCACCGAUUUUGUUUGUAAGCUCAACAUUUCAUACAUGUAAAAUAAAUGACCCGCAGAUUUA